GAAAUAGUGCUAACAACUGUUCUGCACCCAAAGGUGCUCAGGGAAUGCUGAGAUCUGAACAGAGCCCCUCAAGUUCUGAAUGGGGACAUGAAAUCAGGUUCAGUGAACAGCCACCUGAGGUGGUACAUGGACAUCCACGUGCACCCAGAUGCUAACUCAGCCGUCACCGUCAUCAAAGCAACAGCAAAGCUUAAACACACAUUAGCUGUGUGCGGGCACUGUGCUAGGUACUUCAGAGGCAUGUCUCCAAUUUCUUGGCUAUUUGAUAAUAGUUUGAGAGGUUUCAAAAC